GGCAGUCUGCAAUUCAGCGCCGACGGGCUAUGAUCAUUGCAGUAUGGAGGCGAAAAACGACAGCGGGAAUACAACUACACCGGAAGAAAGUUGGAGUAUUUAUACGGCCGUACCAUUGGGUAUCUUCCUCUCCCUUUUAUCUCUCGUUACUACAUUCGGCAAUGUGCUAGUACUCUACGCCGUCAGGACGGAAAAACGCUUGCAAACGGUUAGCAACAUGUUCAUAGUUAGCUUAGCAGUAGCCGACCUAAUAGUAGGCCUAAUAGCCAUGCCAAUUUCGGCCGUCUAUAUUUUAGCAUCGAAAUGGAUUUUUGGUCUAAUCGUUUGCGAAAUUUGGUUGACUACCGAUUACAUUGCGUCUACAGCGUCUAUUCUCAAUUUAUUCAUUCUAUCUCUAGACCGUUACUGGAGUGUCACUUCACCUUUGCAAUAUAUAAGAAAACGAACGAAAAAACGUGCACUUAUUUUAAUUAGCUGCGUAUGGACUGCGUCAGCCUUGUGGAUCGUUCCAAUAAUUGGAUGGCACCAUUUUGAGCAUGGAGGAGUUAGGACUGUUGCUGCAGAUGCUUGCGAUACGGAAUACGCAAAAAAUACGACUUUAAAAAUUAUUACAGGAAUUCUUAACUUUUAUCUUCCUUUAUCAGUGAUGUAUUCGUUAUAUGGUAGAAUAUUUUCCGAAAUACGUAAAAGGUCUGCCCUUGAACUUGGUCAGAGGACGGCUAGUAGGAAGGAAGGACAAGGUAAUAUUCAGGAGCAAGAGCAUCAGCGUAGGCUCGAUAGCGAUCCUGAUACUUUCGCUGAUUCUUAUUCUGCUCCGGGGAAAAAAUUUCAAAUUCGACAGCCGGAGGAGGAAAAGUUAGUCGAUCAGGACUUUGUUGACGAUGAUAUUAAUUGGAGAGUUCAAUACUCGUACGACGAGACUGUUAUGGACCCAACAACAGAACAAGUUCAACGUUUUUUAUACGAAGAGAGGUGUAUGAGGAUUGUUCGAACGGCUAGUACUAAAACUCAAACAGUAGAGACCAGCCUAAGCCAUUCUUCGUCUACUCAGAGUUUUAAGCAAAAAAAGGGGCAGACUUCCGCCGGUAAGCAGACUUCUUUAGAAAUACCCGCUCAGGGUAGACAACGUAGACUUUCUUCCAUAACUCAACUGCUAGCCGAUGGCCAAAACUCUGUGGUAGUACUAAAACGCGGAGCAUGUCGCUUAAGGGAUAAACUCAAAUCCAAAAAUCAGAGGAGUAUCUCUUUGACUAAGGAAAUUAAAGCUGCCAGGCAAUUGGGGGUUAUUAUGGGAGCUUUUACUUUAUGUUUCCUGCCAUAUUUCGUCUGUUUUAUGGUCGUUGCCUUUUGCGACGGCUGCAUAAGUCAGUCGUUAAUGAAUGCUAUGACUUGGAUCGGAUAUUUAAAUUCGACCCUAAAUCCUUUAUUGUAUCCUCUUUGUAACGCAAAUUUCAGGAGAAAGUUCAGAAAAAUGUUGUGCUUUAGGAAAUAUCGAUCCGACUUGCCGCCGGCUUACGCGAAUCGACUGUGUAAACAGAGGACAUCAGUACCGACGGCUUUCGAUGCUAGAUACGAUUUUUAGAGAUACCCGUUAACCCAGAGUUUCUUUUUUUAGCACCUAGCGACAUCUGUUGGUGUUGUGAUAGGGCUGAUUUUUCUGCAGACAGAUUUUAUUGUUGCACUGUUGGGUUUCAGUACAGCACUUAGGUGUUUUUAUUUUAUAAAUAAUAAUGAUUAUAACUUUUAAUAACAUAACAAUAACAAAAACAAUAACAAAAAGAUUAGUGAUGAUUCAUAACAAAGGCCUAAUUAAUAAAUCAGCUAAAUUUUUAUCGUCCUUUUUGAAGAGGAGACGAGCAGAGAAAGGGAAAAAGAUAGGGGAAGAGAGGGAGAGGGGAGUAGGGGGUGGGAAGAAAAGGCGACAGAGAGAGGAAGAGGAAAAGUAGAGAAAAAGCAGGAAGAAAACUAAAAAAUAUGUCUGAGUUAGAGAAAAUAAAUUGUAAUAUAUGUCAAGAAUUCAUGGAAAUAUUGGGGAACAUAUAAAAGAAGAGAGAAAUAUCAUUAUUAUCCUUUAUUUUUUUUUUAAAUAGGACAGGAAGAGUUUUUUUAAAAAAUAACAUAAACUAAGAAACCAUGAAGAAAAAAGUUUUAGGAAGAGAAGGAAGAGAAAUUUGAAAAAAUACCCCAAAAAUAUAAAAGUAAAGUGUAUGGGAGAGAGGAAGAGAAAGAGCGAGAGAGAGAGAGAGAGAAAGAGAAAGAGAGACAGACAGGGGGUAAAAAAUGAUAUAAAAUAUUGUUUAUCUGUUCUUUCCGUUGCGCGAUCUGAUUUAAAAGAUGACCUCCAGUUAGCUAGUAUUUUAAGGUCUCAGUAAAAACCUAAUGAAAUUACGUGACGAGCUUAUUCAAUUGCCAGGUAGUGCCUACAGAAGAGAAUAUGAAGUAAUCAAUGAUUACCAUCGUGUUCUAGUAUAAAACUGUGUCAGAAGUUUCCUUGUGAAGGGAAAAUAUAAGGAAUUUUGUCCAAAAUAAAAGUGUCUUAAAUAGAUGUAAAAUCUAAGUUAAUAAAAUUAAAGAAAAUCAACAAAAAAAGAUAAAAAAGAGAGGAAAAAAAUGAAAAGAAUCAUUGAAAGAAAUUGUUCAAAUUUUAUUUAUUAUAUAAUUAAAACAAUGAGAAAAGAAGAAAUAAAUAAAUAAACAAACAAGCAAACAAAUAAACAAAAUUACGAAAUUUCUUACAAAAUUCAUUUACAAACUUGAUAUUUUUUUUUAUAUAAAAGUCUCCUCUAAUUAGAGAAUUUGUUACCUUUUUUACUUAUUGUUACUGUUGUUAUUAAAAGAGAGAAAGAGAGAAAGAGAGAGAGAGAGAGAGAGAGAGAGAGAUAUUGCCAGAAAUAUUUUCUAUAUAAAUAAUACAUACGCGUACCGAUAAGAUAAUGGUAUUAAAAGAAAAGAAAAGAAAAAACAAUUUUCUCACUACGUAAUCCUAUUAAUGAGUAUUAUUUAUUUAACAAUAAUAAAAUAAUAAAGUAAUAGUAAAUGAGAAAAUGGCAAAAAUGCAAAAUUAGCAUCUAUUCCAUGGAAUUAUUAGUUUUAGAUUUUAAAGGAGAAAGGUGACUGUAUUAGAAUUUCGUGUUUCUAUUUUAACACUCCCCCCUCCCUCCCCACUACUACCCGCCUCGCACCAAUUGACUUUGACAAUUACACCUUUUCUUCAAAAAUAUUUCCCAACUCCUCAUUUCCUACUUUCUGAGAUUGCUAAACUUUUUAAUUUAAUGAUAAAGAAAUUCACCGAAAUCUUAUCUUUUUCUUUAUUGUCUUUCCUCAAUAAUUGGUCAGAUGAUGGAGAAAAAGGAAUAGACAGUAAAAGAUAUGAAGGAUUGAAUGUUAUAGCAGAUAUCAAACGAGAUAGAAAUCCGAAUCGUUUUUCGGUAAUUCGUAAAUUUCUAUAAAAAAGCUAUAGAGAAACUUUAUAAAAGACAAAACACAAGAAAAUAACAAUCCGAAAGAUUCGUAAUUUUGACUUAUAGAUGUCAAUAAAUCUUAAAUUUAUUAUCUUCUUUAUCUUCUUCUAUUUCUCCUCUAUUACUUUCUUACUCUUUCUUGUAAAAUACUUCAAGAUACCUCCAACUCUUCCUUUCCUUCUUCUUCUUCUCUCUCUUUCUUUUUGCGGUUUUGUUAUCGUGAGAACUAAUUAAUAGGUGACGACACAAAUUCGUGAGAAAUUAAAUUAACAACUUGAGCGCCUUCUAUAGUCUUCCUAUUAUUUUUCUGUUACGACAACAGUUGACACGUAAUUGAAAAGAAGGAAAAGAGAUGGAAAAAAUUGCGAACCAGGCGAGAAGAUAAGGAUGAAGAUUUAUUCAAUCCACGUAUAAUAUAUGCAAAAUCAAUAAAUGGUAUUUAAUAUCGUUAGCACUCAAAUUAAUAAUUAAGAAUUUGAACAACCGAUUAAAGAAACACCAAUGCGAUAGAGAAGAUAAGGGAACUGGAAAGAUAAGAGAUAAGAAUACAAAAACUGAUGACUGUGUAAUAUAAACAAGUUGUUUUGUUAGAUAAAAAUAAUAAAAAUUCAAUAGAUUUGUAUUCUAUUAAAGAAGUAAAAAAUACAUGAAACGACU
rnacentral:misc_RNA from 1 species